CCUGGUGACCGAUAGAGAAGGAGUACCGUGAGGGAAAGGUGAAAAGCACCCCGGGAGGGGAGUGAAAGAGAACCUGAAACCCUAUGUUUACAAGCGGUGGGAGCACAAAUAUGGUGCGACCACGUACUUUUUGUAGAACGGACCGGCGAGUUGUGGCAGGAUGCGAGGUUAAGGACCGGGAAGGUCCGGAGCCGGAGGGAAACCAAGUCUGAAUAGGGCGAAAUAGUAUUCUGCUGCAGACCCGAAACCAGGUGAUCUAUCCAUGGCCAGGAUGAAGCGGAAGUAAAAUUUCGUGGAGGUCCGAAUCCACCGUUGUUGAAAAAACGGGGAAUGAGCUGUGGAUAGGGGUGAAAUGCCAAUCGAACCUGGAGAUAGCUGGUUCUCCUCGAAAUAGCUUUAGGGCUAGCCUCGGGAAAGAGACAUGGAGGUAGAGCACUGAAUGGGCUAGGGGGCCGACAAGCCUAUCGAACCCUAUCAAACUCCGAAUGCCAUGGUCUUGAUUUCCGGGAGUCAGACUGCGUGAGAUAAGUUUCGUGGUCAAAAGGGAAACAGCCCAGAUCAACAGCUAAGGUCCCAAAGUACAGGUUAAGUGGGAAAGGAUGUGGGAUUGCACAGACAACCAGGAUGUUGGCUUAGAAGCAGCCAUACAUUGAAAGAGUGCGUAACAGCUCACUGGUCAAGUGGUCCUGCGCCGAAAAUGUCCGGGGCUAAAACCUGUCACCGAAGCUUUGGAUUGUCAUGGAUUAACAUGACAGUGGUAGAGGAGCAUUGUAUACUGGCAGAAGCCAUACCGGAAGGAGUGGUGGACGGUAUACAAGAGAGAAUGCCGGUAUGAGUAGCGAGAGCGAAGUGAGAAUCUUUGCCGUCAAAAGCCCAAGGAUUCCUGAGGAAGGUUCGUCCCCUCAGGGUAAGUCGGGACCUAAGCCGAGGACGAAAGUCGUAGGCGAUGGACAAUCGGUUGAAAUUCCGAUACCACCGACAUCCGCAUGAGAGAAGCAGUGACACAGGAGGAUAGACGGAGCAGGUUGUUGGUAGAGCCUGUUCAAGCAGUGAGUCCGGGAAGCGAGUGAAGUACCGUUUUCCAAAGAUGAGCUGUGACGGGGACCGAAAUUAGAGUAGGGAAGCCGUUGAAUCCACACUGGCGAGAAAAGCUGCUAUCGAGGAUGGAGGUGCCCGUACCGUAAACCGACACAGGUGGGCGGGGAGAGAAUCCCAAGACGAGCGGGAGAACCCUUGUUAAGGAACUCGGCAAAAUGACCCCGUAACUUCGGGAGAAGGGGUGCCUGGGAAACCAGGCCGCAGAGAAAAGGCCCAAGCGACUGUUUAGCAAAAACACAGGUAUCUGCGAACUCGAGAGAGGAAGUAUAGGUGCUGACGCCUGCCCAGUGCUGGAAGGUUAAGGGGAAGUGUAAGAGUGAAAGCGCGAAGCAGAGAACCGAAGCCCCAGUGAACGGCGGCCGUAACUAUAACGGUCCUAAGGUAGCGAAAUUCCUUGUCGGGCAAGUUCCGACCCGCACGAAAGGCGUAACGAUUUGGGCGCUGUCUCAACAAGGGACCCGGCGAAAUUGUAGUACCAGUGAAGAUACUGGUUACCCGCGAUAGGACGGAAAGACCCCGUAGAGCUUUACUGUAACCUGAUAUUGGAUUUUGGCAGGGAAUGUACAGGAUAGGUGGGAGACUGGGAAGCAUGUACGCCAGUAUGUGUGGAGUCAAUGUUGGGAUACCACCCUUUCUGUGCCGGAAUUCUAACCUUGGAGCCGUGAACCGGCGAAGGGACAUUGUCAGGUGGGCAGUUUGACUGGGGCGGUCGCCUCCGAAAGAGUAACGGAGGCGCCCAAAGGUUCCCUCAGAAUGGUUGGAAAUCAUUCGAAGAGUGUAAAGGCAGAAGGGAGCCUGACUGCGAGAGAGACAUCUCG
rnacentral:rRNA from 1 species